UAACAUUAUGGUAUUGGCGAGAGCCGCAUGUGUGGUUCUUUUUAGAAACAUUAACACCAUGGCACAGCACAGAUUCAUUGAUAUUGGUGUGAACCUGACAGAUCCCAUGUUCAGAGGUCUCUACAGAGGGAAGCAGAAACAUGACGAUGACUUCAGCCAGAUCAUCGACAGAGCUCUACAGGUCGGAGUCGAAAAGGUAAUG